UUGCACCGGGCGGCAGACAACCGGGGGUAGAGGAGCCAGCCGUCCCGUUUAUUAGGGGAUCGCGCCGUUUUGGAAAGAAAGCUGCCCGUAUUGAUGUACGGAAAUACGCCAUUAGCCCCGCAUGUCCGUAUACACCGUCAAUCUCCCGCCGCUCGGCGUGGGAACCCCCAAAUUAUACCGCCGUCUUACCCAUCCGUGACACUUUUCUACGACGGAAACCGAUCCGCGGACAUCGAAAGCAAACUGACAAACAGAAUAAGUCCAGGACACUGGAAAAUACUUGAAAAACAUGUGAGUUGCAGGGAUUUGACAAAAACAUCCUUUUAGAAAUGCGUGAGGAAGGUCAAGACUCUGGUCUCCAGCUCACCGCUCUCUCUUACAUUUCCAUGGCCAUUUUGUCCGAUAGUAUUAUUGGAUUUUUCUAUGCUAUAUAUAUAUUUUUUAUGUUUAGUUAUUCUGUGCUCCAUAAUUAUAAAUAAUAGUUUAUUUUCCUUGUGACGUGUCUGUGCUUAAUAGUAUUAAAUAAGAGUUUAAACAACUACAGUUUCCUCAGUAAUGUAUUUCAUGAACUGAUACUUCCCCAACAAAACCCAUGCAUGCAUUCAAGUCUCUGUCAUGGUUUGUACAUAAUAUUUGCAACAACCAUUAUGAAAUUUUUGCAGAAUAUGUACUACAAGCCUCUCCAGUUGCAGCCACACCCAUAUCCAAACUCACAUAUAAGGUAUAUUUGUAUAUGUGUGUUUCCAAGGUACCAACAUUCCUACAGAACCAUGUUACAUAAUAUAUCCAAAUAUAGGGAAUUUCAGCGUGAGCCCUGAUGCAUUAUGCAUACUGCUUUCAAAUC